rnacentral:rRNA from 1 species
GUGACAGCGGGGCGAGGGUCGGUGGGAAUACGUGGGGGGGAGGGGUUGGUCGUGAUUACGUGGCGUAAAGGGUGCGUAGGCGGUAUGUUAAGUUGGACGUGAAAACUCUGGGCUCAACCCAGAGCCUGCAUCCAAAACUGGCAGGCUAGAGUACUGGAGGGGGUAGCGGAAUUCCUGGUGUAGCGGUGAAAUGCGUAGAUAUCAGGAGGAACACCGGUGGCGAAGGCGGCUACCUGGACAGAAACUGACGCUGAGGCACGAAAGCUAGGGGAGCAAACAGGAUUAGAUACCCGAGUAGUC